UGAAGAGAGAGCACCUAGACCAGCAGUGGGCAAACUACGGCCCGUGGGCCGGAUCCGGCCCGUUCGGCUGUUCUAUCCGGCCCACGGAGCCGAAAGAGCGGAGGGUUCUCUUGCUCUCCCCUCCGCUCCUUCACCAGCAGCAGUGUUAACAUGGCAACAUCGGGAAACACGGCCGCAGCUCCUUCUUCUGAGUGGGCGGAUUUAUAUCCGCCCAUUCAGUAGAAGGAACACCCUCUCAAUCUUCCAGAGGCUCCUUGUAAUGCCCGCGGACGCGUCUUCCGACAUCACCCUGGGAAUGCGUAGGCACGUUAUCGUGG